rnacentral:rRNA from 1 species
UAAUACGAACCGUCCAAACGUUAUUCGGAAUCACUGGGCUUAAAGAGUCCGUAGGCGGCCAAUUAGGUGAGGUGUGAAAUCCCCCGGCUUAACCGAGGAAUGGCGCUUCAAACCGAUUGGCUAGAGGAAGAUAGAGGAAAGCGGAACUGAUGGUGGAGCGGUGAAAUGCGUUGAUAUCAUCAGGAACACCGGUGGCGAAAGCGGCUUUCUGGGUCUUUUCUGACGCUGAGGGACGAAAGCUAGGGGAGCGAACGGGAUUAGAUACCCCGGUAGUCCUAGCUGUAAACGAUGAGCACUAGCUUGAGGGGACCCCCACAUCCCCUUAGGCGUAGCGAAAGUGUUAAGUGCUCCGCCUGGGGAGUAUGGUCGCAAGGCUG